rnacentral:rRNA from 1 species
AUGGGCUCGACGCCGGGGAGCAGCUACGACUGCUCCUUCAAGGUGCUGCUCAUCGGCGACUCCGCCGUCGGCAAGAGCAGCCUCCUCGUCAGCUUCGUCUCCGCCGCCCCCACCGACGAUGACAUCUCCCCCACCAUAGGGGUGGAUUUUAAAAUCAAGUUUCUCACUGUUGGGGAUAAGAAAUUGAAGUUGACAAUAUGGGACACCGCUGGCCAGGAGAGGUUUAGGACAAUCACUAGUUCUUACUACAGAGGUGCUCAUGGAAUUAUCUUAGUUUAUGAUGUCACGAAGAGACAAAGUUUCACAAAUUUGGCUGAUGUAUGGGCCAAAGAAAUAGAAAUGCACUCAACAAACAAAGAGUGCGUCAAAAUGCUUGUUGGAAACAAAGUGGACAAGGAUGAGGACAGAAUGGUAACAACAGAAGAAGGUCUUGCCUUUGCACAGCAGUGUGGAUGCCUUUUUCUUGAGAGCAGUGCCAAAACAAGAGAAAAUGUGGAGAAAUGUUUUGAAGAGCUUGCACUAAAGAUUCUCGAGGUCCCAAGUCUGUCGGAGGAAGGCUCGUCCGUCGUCAAGAGGAACUCGCUGAAACAGAAGCACGAGAAGAGCGGGGGAUGCUGUCAGUAG